rnacentral:lncRNA from 1 species
GGACGCGCGUCCCACUGCAGUACGGCGGGAGAUCCUCUUCUUUACCGGCGUCCAUAAUCAUGAAGCCACCACCGUGGUGGCCCUCGUUGACGCAGUCGGCAAUAGUGCGCGUCGCUUGGUUAUGCCGGUUGAUGUACAUGCCCUUCAUGGUUGGGUGGGGGCACCCGCCGAGUAUGUGGGCUCCUGAGUCUGGUGUGGGGCCGGUCGGGCCGCAGCUGCGGCAGAUAGGGCAGUUGCCGUCUCCGCCUCGUCCGUAAAGUUUCUUUAGUUUAGCAUUAAAUAGCAGCCCGUAUCGAGCUUUCAGUACUUGCAGUUUGAGCCAGUGUGACAUCUUUGCGUUACUGAGGAAGGAAUUGCUAGAUUUGGGGUCUAACUUCGAGGCGGUGUUACGCCAUUUUUCAGUUAGUAUUGUGUCGUUGGUAUAGCCUGCGAAGGUACCUUGCUGGAGAUGCUUAUAAAGGCCUUUGUUCAGGUCAUUAACGUAAAGACCGGUGUCGCGUUGUUUCAGCCAGAACACUUUAUCGAACGGGGCAUUGUCGGCCUUUUCAGUAAAUGUUGCUGGGUUCUCACCUCGUGCGACCGAUGUUGCUCCUUUGUCAGCUUUGUCAUUACCAUCAAGGCCUGUGUGCGAUUUCACUUUCAGGAAGUGAACGGUUAUGUUCUGUUGGGCGCAUUCGUAC